CAUGCAGGCGGUUAUACAAGUAGGAUGUGAAAGCCUGGGGCUCAACCUCAGAACUGCAUUCUAAACUGUGUGACUAGAGUAUUGCAGGGGGGAGACGGAAUUUCAGGUGUAGCGGUGGAAUGCGUAGAUAUCUGAAAGAACACCAAAGGCGAAGGCAGUCUCCUGGGCAAAUACUGACGCUCAUAUGCGAAAGCGUGGGUAGCAAACAG
rnacentral:rRNA from 1 species